AUAUUUGCACAACAAAUAUAGUUAUUUAAUGAAUAUGGAAAUUAAAACACAACAGUUGGUAUUUACUAUGCAUUUUUUACAUGAGCUACCAUUGAUCAUUUUUGAAACAUGUUUCUAUUAAAGCUUGCUUGUAUUGCUGCUCAGAUUGUUUACCCAAAGAAAUUUAACUCUUCAGGAAGCAGAGCAACAUAGAGUGGAGUACCUGCUUCUUCUCUAGAGCUUUCACAGCCAUCUGUAAAAUAUUGGCUCCCCUUUCAAAACCAGUUCAGGUUGCCUGAGAACUGGAGCCUGCUGCUAUGUUAAACAACAGUCACCCUUCGGUUCCAUUUUAAAACAGAGCAUUUGUGACAGCUUCAGAAGUGAUAUACAUGAAUCUUGUUUGGGGUUCAACCCUAUUGCACCCUGGUUAUCCUAUAGGACAAAACUUAUUAAUACUUAAACAUAAGCAUUAAGAAUAUCAUGCAUUUUACAUAGAAUGCUUUGGUUCUAACAUGAUUUCUUCAUUGAAUCAUUGGCCAGCAAAGCAAUUGCUUCCAUCUUACCUAAAUUAUUCAUGAGGCAUGCUUCUGUAGAAAUCAUCAACUUAACUGGAAGAAUCACUCAGCAGAACAACCCUGUCAUAUUUUAUUUUUUCCCCUUUUUAAUGUUCCAUUGUUAAUCAAAAGCACUGCAUUUUUCUCCCAAGAAAGAAGUACUGUAUGAAGAAUUUAUUCAUGAUCAUGGAUUACCUGCCACACAUCAGGAGCAGAACCUUAGACCUGAAGAUGGAUAACCUGCUGGGCAGAGGACAAAGUUCCUAAGAAUUAGUGAAGAAAUACAAAUAGGUAGAUAUUAGUAACAUUUUUAUAUAAAUAAAAUUUGGUAUAAGUAACUACUUGCCAAACAUCUAAUUUUAUGAAACAGUAAUUGUCUCAAAAUAAAGGCACUAAUAUGACUUUUUAGAUGAAAUUAUAAAGGAAAUAAAAACCACCUGUUGAUAUUGAAUAAAUACAAUUUAUACAAUUAUUUCAGGAGGAUUAUAUUUCAUCAUGAAAGCUGAAAACAUAUACAGCAUGCAACUAGCUUUCCGUCUUCUGUGGUUGCUUCAGUAAUUUUGGGGACAGAAUAUACUCAGUAUUUUACAGGCAAAAAACCUGGUAACUAAAAAUCUUCUAACUGUAAAACUUCCAGUGAAUUUAAUCCAAAUCACUACAAUAUACUCCAAAAUAUCACAAAAGAAAAGUUCAUAUCUCUGAAAACGGGAGCACAAGACUUUUUUUUUAAAUUAUUUAAUUCAACAAAAUAUAAAGAUGAAGACUUCAUCUAAAAUGUUAUGAAAAUCCCUAAAAUGUUAUAAAAUUCACAUUACAAUUUUUUCUGAUUUCAAGGUGCUAGGAAGAGCAGAUGCAAAUCAAGAGUCAGAAACUCUUAUUCUGUAACUCAUACAGCUCUCCACAUCUAAUUCAAUUCCUCUAACAAUUUGUCCUGUGCUUCUGAUUUCAGAACUAUCUUUUAAAAAAGAACUGAAAAUACUCAAUUCCCUUUCCUCAAACUUCAUUAUCACUUUGACUUAGUACCAUCUUUUCAUACACACAUUAUGAAAACAGGAAUAAUUUAGAGCAAUUUACAUCUGAGGUCAACAAUGCUGACAGUAAGUGAAUGUUUCUUUCUUGAUUAUUAAAUACACUUACAUUUCUCUUGAUGUCCUUAAAAAACUUAAAGAAUACUUAUCCUAAAGAAGAGGUUGCAUCCAUGCACAGAUUCACUUUUAAAGCUGUGAUAUUCAGCCUUACAGUUUUGAGCGACACUACAGUCAUGCCCCUUUCCCCCAUCUUUGAAGUGAUACAUGUCUCUAGAGAUAGAAAGACAGAACUGUUUUUCUAUUCUCUGCAAGAGAAGGGCUGUGAUUUUCCAUGCAUCUUGAGAAGGGCACACAAACAAGGACCUCCUGUUAGGAGCUCCUAGGUAAAAUGUAAAAUCUGACCCUUAAAAGUUUGCUUUCAUAUUUUGUCUGUUAUUAUGAGACAAUACUGACUUUUUUUUUCCAUUUCAGAUAAAUCCCUAGUAAACAGUAACUGCAACAGAAACCGAUGUCACCUUUCUCAUAUCAAAAGCACAUAAUGCCCCAACAGUACCAGAAUAGCUCUGCAGAAUAUCAUCUGCAAUUCCAUAGUGACAACAGGGUCAAAAGGAAACAUCACUGCUGUCUGAACAGGCAGGGAGGAUUUAGUUUUGCAGGCUGAGGUGUAGGUUCAGCUUGCUGGACUAAAGAAACUCUCACUGAUCAGAGGGAGGUAAGUGCUCCCCAGAGGGAAGAACUGUUGUCUGUCUGACAGGACACAGGUGAACAAAGCCAAGAGAAUGAUAAUCUCACAACAAUUUCAAGAUAACUGAAGUACAUAUUUUAUCUAAUACAAAUGCAUGCUCAAAGAGCUGAAAGAAAGUGUCUUUGGAUAAGGCAAGGGUUACAGACCAUAACUGUUUAUUGUUUUCAGCAAAUACCUGACUACUAGCACCUUUCAUAAACUAAUCCAUUAUUGAUACAUUUCAGAAUGAAACAGAAUGACCUGUAAGAUUCCAGUUAUGUAUAGCUCUAUUCAACUCUCAUGAAUAAAACAUCAAAAAAACAAACCAGGCACUAUGUAUGGAAUUUAACUUGCCGUGAAAAAGAAAAUCCACAUAAUAUUUCUAGGGAAAAUUGUAUGAAUGAACUUCUAAUCUAAACCCAGUGUUCCCCACAAUACUGACUCCACACUUGGGAUAUACCUACAUACAUCUAGCACUGACUGAAGACAUCCUAUCUAAUCCCUGAAAAAAAUAGGGAACUUGGUUUUGGAUGAACUUAAAAUCCCUUGGAAGACUACUUCAAGUGUAAUGAAGUACCAUAAGCUGAAACAUUAAUAUAGAACAGUAUAAUUUUUUCCUCAUUACCUUCUGGUGGUAAUUAUGGAAAAAAAAUCAAACAUAAUAUAUGGGAUCUCAAUUCUGGAAAUGCUUAAUCACGAUAAGUACAGGAUCCAUUCCUCAGUACAUCCAUCUUAAAAUCUCUUUAAAAAGAACAUAUAAAAAUCCCACUAGGAAUUUAUUUUUACUUUUAUCUAUGCAUUUUACAUACAUAUAUAUAUAUAUAUAUAUAUAUAUAUGAAUCAACAAUAAAAAGAAAACAAGCAACUAGAAGCAAGACUUUUUGUUUCAUAAAAUUUAAUUUUCCUUUCAAAAUGUAUUUUAAAAUGGUGAUAAACUUCUAACAAUAAAGUGCAUUUUGUAAAUACAUAACCUAUAUUUCCAUUCAUGUAUGUAAGCAGCAAAUGGUUUCUAUAUUAUUAAUUUGCAAAGUAUUUGUGUCGUUCUCUUGCACAAACAUGAGAAGUUGGUAUGUCCUCAUGUGCUUUAAGUAAUUUGGAUAUACUCUUUAAUAUCUCUCUUUAUUGAGAGAAAUCUUAGCAUUCAAGUCCAAAAGAAUCUUUCAGUUACAGCUACUGAGGCUCUCAGUUACUACUUCCAUGGUCCCAUAGGUAGAGCAAUUCUUCUGCUGCUUAGUCACAGAAGUACUUUCUCGCAUACAAAAGCGGUCAGGAACUUUUAGGAAAUACAACAGGAUUCAAAGAAAUAUUUCAUAAAUAUUAAACCACUAAACCAAUUCAGCUAACCUAAGAUAUACUUCAUAAACAGGACAAUCCUGGUUUUAUGUGGAACACCAAACCACAGUAACAAGUACCAAGCUUUAUAGCAGAUAUACCCUAACAAAAGAAACAACUUUUACCUAAGUCUCUGUACUUGUUUUGGGUGUGGUAGAGUUAAUUUCCUUCACAGUGAUUAAUACAGGCUUGUGUGUUUGAUUCGUGCUGAAUACAGGGUGGAUAACACAGGGAUGUUUUGUUAUUGCUCAGCAGGUCUUACACAGAACCAAGGCCUUUUCUGCUGCUUGUACUGCCACACUGGUGAGGAAGUUGAGGGGGCAUGGGAGGCUGGGAAGAGACACAGCUGGGACACGUGACCCCAACUAGGCAAAGGGAUAUUC
rnacentral:lncRNA from 1 species